UUACUUCUCAGAAGAACCGUACUCUUCUUUCAUAUUCUCCCUCUGCCGUCUUCCUGGUGCCGAGGAAGGGGCAGCUCUCUCAAGACCCUCAGAAAUUUAGACGGCACCUCAGUAAUCCCACGACAAUCUCUGCACCGGUUCUCUUUGGAUGAGGGACCCAAGGAAAAAGUCUUGGAUGUCGCCAGCUGCUUCUCCUGUACCUUAUGAGGAUUUGUUCCCCCCACGCUUCCCAAAUUCCAUCGAGGGCUUGUUCUUGAAUCUUCUUGAAAGACGGGGACCAAAGGAUCGAAGGAGCAGAAUAAUAGCAGCAGCAACGAACUGCAAGGUGAUCCCCGAAAGGCUGAACAAGACAGAGGAGUCGAGCAGUUGAAUCUUUGCAAAGAAUGUUCAAAACACGUCCCACCCAGUGAGUCUGUAAAGGCUAGCCUUCCUGGAAUCGCUGCUGAAUGAGCUAGAGACCCUGGGAACUUGGACCAGCCAAACUUAGAAGUAUGAAGAGAAUGUAGUGAGAGGAAGUGGUAGAGGGCACUCUGUUCUUAGGAAAGAGGAGAAAGCAGCUUCUCUCUGAAUAACUGGGAGCUGAAACAGGAAGCUGAAUGACACAGUUGAUUGCAAAUGUGACAUAGACCUAGAAAAAUCAGGACUUCAGCCCCAUCCUCGUUGAGUGGCGAAUCCCAAUCAGGAGAAAUGUAGUUGGAAAAGACCACCUUGGGGCCGAAGCCGAUCGGCUCACCUUGUUCCCGCCCGGCUCCCUUGAAACUUCAGAGUUGACCGGGCAGUACCUUGAGCAUUGGCUGUUUUAGGUGACUUCAUUCAUCUGGACCGAAAUAUAUCCAUCACCUAAUCGCAGUUUCCAAGAUUAAAACUGAAAGCAAACAAAACGGCCCGGGAGUCAGGAGACCUGGCUUCUGAUCCUCGGCUCUUCCACCCGCCGACUGGGUGAUCCUGGGUUGGUCAUUUGAUUUCUCUUGCCUCAGUAUUCUCAUCAGUGGAAAUGGGGAUAACGUACCUCUUCUUCCUCCCUCUUAGAAUAUGAGCCCCAUGAGGGACAGGGACUGCGCCUGACCUGAUUGUGUCGUUUCCACCCCAGUGCUUGGCACAAAGUAACUGCUUAACAAAUACAGGUAUUAUUUAUUAAUUAAAAGGAAGUGUUCUCAUUUUUCAAGUUUUCUUGGGGGAAAAAAAAAAGUGCUGUUUGGUUCAAAACCCUACAGAAACCACCAGAGAUAACGAUGAUGACUUGGAAACGCAUACCGAUCUCUAACUCUUAUCUUGUAACCCCUAUUUUGCUCUUCUCUCACACACCUUGGGGAAGGCAAACACUCUGGUUCUUCUGGGUGAAGUCAUUAAAAGGAUAAUUAAAGGUUAA